rnacentral:rRNA from 1 species
AUUGAACGCUGGCGGCAGGCCUAACACAUGCAAGUCGAGCGAGCGGCGGACGGGUGAGUAAUGUCUGGGAAACUGCCUGAUGGAGGGGGAUAACUGCUGUAAACGGUAGCUAAUACCGCAUACCAUCAGAUUUGCCCAGAUGGGAUUAGCUAGUAGGUGGGGUAACGGCUCACCUGGGCGACGAUCCCUAGCUGGUCUGAGAGGAUGACCAGCCACACGGGAACGGAGAAAGGGCCCAGACUCCUACGGGAGGCAGAGGUGGGGAAUAUUGCACAAUGGGCGAAAGCCUGAUGCAGCAAUGCCGGGUGUGUGAAGAAGGCCUUCGGGUUGUAAAGCACGUUCAGCGGGGAGGCGUUACCCGCAGAAGAAGCACCGGCUAACUACGUGCCAGCAGCCGCGGUAAUUC